UACGGGGGGGGGCAAGCGUUGUUCGGAAUGACUGGGCGUAAAGGGCGCGUAGGCGGCUUGUAUAGUCGGAUGUGAAAUUCCUGGGCUUAACCUGGGGGCUGCAUACGAGACGUAUGGGCUUGAGUGCGGAGAGGGUCGUGGAAUUCCCAGUGUAGAGGUGAAAUUCGUAGAUAUUGGGAAGAACACCGGUGGCGAAGGCGGCCACCUGGACCGUG
rnacentral:rRNA from 1 species